rnacentral:rRNA from 1 species
AUUGAACGCUGGCGGAAUGCUUUACACAUGCAAGUCGAGCGGCAGCGCGGGGCAACCUGGCGGCGAGCGGCGAACGGGUGAGUAAUACAUCGGAACGUGCCCAGACGUGGGGGAUAACUACUCGAAAGAGUGGCUAAUACCGCAUACGAUCUAAGGAUGAAAGCGGGGGAUCGCAAGACCUCGCGCGUUUGGAGCGGCCGAUGGCAGAUUAGGUAGUUGGUGGGGUAAAGGCUUACCAAGCCCGCGAUCUGUAGCUGGUCUGAGAGGAUGAUCAGCCACACUGGGACUGAGACACGGCCCAGACUCCUACGGGAGGCAGCAGUGGGGAAUUUUGGACAAUGGGCGAAAGCCUGAUCCAGCCAUUCCGCGUGCAGGAUGAAGGCCCUCGGGUUGUAAAGCUCUUUUGUUGGGGAAGAAAAGCAGUUGGUUAAUACCCGAUUGUUCUGACGGUACCCAAAGAAUAAAGCACCGGCUAACUCCGUGCCAGCAGCCGCGGUAAGGCUAACG